rnacentral:lncRNA from 1 species
GGGACACCCAAAACUAAGCAAAUAAAAACAGUUAUCAACUCCAGGGGAAACGAAACAGCUUGGAAAUGAUUGCAUAAUCCUUAUGCUGUAACGCUUCAUAUCUCUCUGUUCAGUUUUAACCUUGAUACUUUGGAAGGGGAGGAGUGGAUCGCUGAAACAGAUGAAGUCUCAUAGUCCACAGGAAGAAUCAAUAGAAAAUGAGACCCACAUCAAAAACAAACCGCACAAAUACAUUGCUUGGAAAUGUGGCAGUAAAUUAAAAUAGUGAGUUGGAAGGCGUCAAAGCAUAGCCCGGUGUGGAGUGGGAAGUGGAGAGGGAAGGAAGUCGGUCUUGCUCGGGGCUGCCUCAUUGUCUUUAUAGAGCCACGACACAUGCUUCUUGAUUAUGGAAACACAUUCAGAGAAUGUGCUAGUGGUUGUCAUCCUUGUACUAAAGUCGUGGAGUGUAUUAUACAAACUUAGACGGUCAUGACACAGUGACGUCUGAGGUGACGUCAUCUUACGAACCGCGGCCUCUACGUGGUCCGCCAUUGGUGGACCGCAGCACACACGCAGCAGUGUUUGCAUGUCUGUGUGGCUUCAUGGUGUCUGUAAAAACCACACUUCCAAACAGAAUGAGAGAGAAGGGUCUCAUCGUUUUCUAGAAGCAAACUUGUGCUGCAGCCCUUGAAGUCGUGGUUUGGGGAAAAUGCCAGAAGUAUAAAGCAGAAAAGAACAGCAAGUACCUCGCUCCCUGAAGAUAAUUGCUCGUAAGACUGCAGCUCAGAAUGUUUCCUCCCAGUCCAGUACUUAACCCAGCUCAUUUCUUUUGCAGCUCAAGAUUCAAUUGAACUCAAUCAGCCCACGCUGGGCAUUAUGCCCAACUGCAGCGUUAGGUGCUCAGAACGAGACACGGUCCUGACCUUUCAUUGUUACAGGUAAAUUCUCAGCUCCAGUGCCUGCUCGCCACCGUGUUCCCUUCCACGAUGAUCAUGGACUCAACUCUCUGAAACCAUAAGCAAUUUCCCAAUAAACUCUUUCUUCUGUAAGUUACCUUGGUCAAGGUGCCUCUUCAGAGCAAAAGGAAUGCGCCUAAGACAGCUGGUAGGCAAACGGGCUUUAGUUGAGUUAGAUCUUGGCUUUUUGAAACAGAGUUUCAAUGUGUGGCCCAGGCUGGCCUUUCAUUCACUCCAUAGCCUAGGAUAUCCUCAAACUUGUGAUCCUCUGCCUCUGCAUUUAAAGUGCUGAAAUUACAUUUUAUUUCCCAUUUAAAUGCUAUUCUUUUUUUG